GGGCAGUAGGGUCCAAAAUUUUGCUGAAAUUUCAUAAAAUUUUGCAAAAUUCAUGAUUUUUUAUGGGGAGCAAAAAUUUGAUUUUAGCUAAAGAACUACGAAAAAAUUGAAUUAAAUUGUCUUUAUUUAUGCUUCUUAAGCUAUUUAGAGCACACGUUGAGGUGUCGCACGGUGGUCGGAUUGCUUUCCUCUCUCAAAGAGGUCCUAUGAUUGAUUCCUGUGCUCGGCACCUUUUUUUUACCUCACUUACUAGUGGGGUCCACCUUCUUCAUGUUAUUAAAA
rnacentral:lncRNA from 1 species